GGUCUCUUCCCUUUCCUCACUUUAAAACCCGUCACAACUAGGGGUCCAUAAAUUUUUCCUGGAAAGCUCUAGACAGGAAAUCUUUUAGGUUUUGUGGCCCAUGCAGUCUCUGCUGUGGUGGCACAAAAGUAGUCAGAGACGAUAUGUGAUCAAUGGAUGUGGCUGUGUUCCAAUAAAACUUUAUUUACAAAAGCAGGUGGGGGUAGGAUUCAGCCUGGGGCAUUUGCCACUGCCUGCUCUCCUUGGGGCAACUGGGUACUCAGCAAGUGAUUUGAUCUCAGGUCUUCACCUUCCUUCUGUAUUUGCUCAUGGUUCGCUAAUGGCCAAGCACAGAUGUUUUGUUCUUGUUUGUCAGAGAGCCACACAUACAGCCUUGAGGACCACAGGCCAGGGGCCUGGCUUCCCUGGGAGCUUGCAGCUCCCUGGCUCACCACACCUAAAGUAUAUGGACAAGUCCUUGUGUUACCCUAAAGCUGCCACAGACAUGAGGGCGGCCCACCCCAGCGGGCUGGGUUUCUAGGCAGACAUGGCUCCACGCUCCAUCGGCCAGGUAUUGCCAUAGCAACCUGGGUUGCAGCUGCCUCCCCCUGCUCAGCACUGACGAGGUGUGCUCCCUUGCAAAUGAAGUCCCUUUGAGUUACUCCAGCACUUCUAAACCUCACGCACAGCCCCACAGGGAACUAAGGCCUUGUCGAGCGAAAGACCCACCCUGCCUCACUGCCUUUCCACUUUGCCUUCUCCAGAGCCGGGUGGACUUUCUCAUUUGCCCAGGGAAGCAGUGCGGCCAGGAGUCGAGGGCCAAGCUCUGAAUCCAGCCUGCUGGAGUUUGAAUCCAGCUCUUUCUCUUGCUGUGUGGCCUUGGCCAAGCUGUUUAACUUCUCCGUGCUCAUUUCCUCAUCUGUAACAUGGGGAUAGUAAUACCACUCGCCUCCCAGGACUGCUUAUGAGGAUUAGCUGAGUUCACACCUGUAACUGUUUGGAACGGCUCCUGCAGCAAGGCAGGGCUCGGUAACGGUCGCUCAUUAUUUCUGUAGCAUGGUCCGCUGGCUUAGUGCAGGCAAACGGGUCUGGGUCAAAGUGCAAGGCUUCCACGCGGAGUUAACACAGCUGCAUCCAAGUGACUCAACCUCUCUGAGCCUCAGUUUCUUCAUCUGUAGAGCAGUUAGUGGUACGUGCCUCUCAGUGUUCUCAGGAGG
rnacentral:lncRNA from 10 species